AUUAAAAUUAAUUCUAGUUUUGAUAUUUAUAUAAAAUUUAUAAUAUAUAUAUAAAUUAUUAAGUUUAUAAUUAUAAACAUUUUAAAAAUUUUAUAAAAUUUUUAAAAUUUAAUUUAAAAUUUUAAAAAUUAAAGAAAUUUAGAUUUAGUAUUAUUUUAGGGUUAUUGAUAAAAUUUGUGCCAGCAAUCGCGGUUAUACAAAUAAUAAAAAUAAAUAUUUUUUUAUAUAAUUAAUAUAAAAUUAAUAAAAUAAUAUUUUAAUUUUAAGGGUGAAAUUUUAAUUUAAAUUAAUUUUUAAUUAUAGAUUUAUAUGAAGUUAAUAAAAAUUUAUAAAAAACUAGGAUUAGAUACCCUAUUAUUAAAUUUAAAUUUAUAGAUUAAAAAGUAUUAAUAGUUAUAAACUUAAAAUUUAAAGAUUAUGGCAGUAUUUUAAUUUAUUUAGAGGAAUCUGUUUAUUAAUUGAUAUUCCACAAUUAAUUUUACUUAAUAUUAUUUAAUUUGUAUAUUGUUGUUAUAAAAAUAUUUUUUAUAAUUAAAAAUUUAAAAAUUUUAAAAUAAGUUUAUAUCAAAUCAAAAUGCAGUUUAUGAUUAAGAAUAUAAUGGAUUAUAUUAAUUAUAAUUUUGGAUAAUAGAUUGAAAUAUUUAUUUAAAAUUAGAUUUAAAAGUAAUUAAAAUUAUUUUAUUUUAAUGAAUAUAAUUUUAAAAUAUGUACAUAUUGCCCGUCACUUUCAUAUAAAAAUUGAAAUAAGUCGUAACAUAGUAGAAGUAUUGGAAAAUGUUUCUAGAAAGAU
rnacentral:ncRNA from 1 species